AGCGAACGCUGGCGGCAGGCCUAACACAUGCAAGUCGAACGAAGUCUUCGGACUUAGUGGCGGACGGGUGAGUAACACGUGGGAACGUACCUUUUGGUUCGGAAUAACGCAGGGAAACUUGCGCUAAUACCGAAUGUGCCCUUAGGGGGAAAGAUUUAUCGCCAUUAGAGCGGCCCGCGUUGGAUUAGGUAGUUGGUGUGGUAAAGGCGCACCAAGCCUACGAUCCAUAGCUGGUCUGAGAGGAUGAUCAGCCACACUGGGACUGAGACACGGCCCAGACUCCUACGGGAGGCAGCAGUGGGGAAUCUUGCGCAAUGGUCGAAAGACUGACGCAGCCAUGCCGCGUGAAUGAUGAAGGUCUUAGGAUUGUAAAAUUCUUUUAGCAGGGACGAUAACGACGGUACCUGCAGAAAAAGCCCCGGCUAACUUCGUGCCAGCCGCCGCGGUAAUAC
rnacentral:rRNA from 1 species